CACUGGCAAGCCGGGUUCAAGAGCGAUGGCUACUUUCGUUUUCAAGUAAAUCAAAUUUAGACUUAAAACAGUUGUUGCAAAGAAAAUUUAAACUUUUGGAAUUAGUUUUUAGGGACCAUAAUGGGCAAAUCUCGGGCGGAAAUUCAGAAAGCUUAUAGAGAAAGGCAGAAGUUAAAGGGACCAGCGUUCUUAUCCAAGGAGAGAGCAAGACAAAGACAAAAUUAUGUUCCAGCUUCACAUUUAAGCAAGAAAACGAAAGAAGCUCGAAACAACCAGGCAAAAUUGAGAAACAGACUAUCUAGGUUGAGAAAAAAGACACGCGAAAACGAUGUUGAAGAAACUAGUGGUUAUGGAAGCAUGUCAAUGGAAACAGGUGAUGAUGAAAGAAAUCAGCCUACAGAGCAAAGGGCAUUAAUUGUAAAAUAACCCUUAAUUAAGAAAGGUGCAGGUGCUAAGAAAAUUAACGCAAUCUUGAGCAUUAAGUAGAGCUCACAGAGAAAUCAAGUCAUUAAAGUCGGAAGUGAUACAGCUGAGAAAGAAGAUCAAGAUAAAAAAACAGGAAAAUAGAUCGCAUCGAUAAUAAAACAGAAAGCUAUGCAUCUACAUCACACGAGCUUACUCCAAUGAAGAAAACAUAAGCAGAGGUGUCGAGACUUAACCUUACACCACGAAGAAGACAGUUAGUUCGAAGAAAAUUACUAACUGGAAAUGUUCUGGUGCCAGAAAUUGAUAGAGCAAAACGUGCAUAAGGAAAGAAGAAAGUAUCAAACAUCCACAGACUAAUUUAAGGCCAAAUAGCUAAGAAAUAUAGUAUGUUGAACCAGAUCAGUAAGUGCACACGCCUCAGUAGAAGAUCCCUCGGACUGAUCGAAGACAAAACCAUAGAUAUGGUGAAAGAGAAGAGAACUUGCAUAUCCAAGUCUGUAGCAGAAUCUGUAAUUGAUUUUCUUGGCAGAGAAGAUAAUUGUCGCAUUCAGCCAGGAAAAGCUGACGCCAAGAAAGUAAAUGGACAUAAGGAAAAGAAACAGACAAAAGUACUUACUGACUAUCUUAAGAAGUUGCAUAUGAAGGACAAGUCUGAAAUUCCUGAGCAAAACAUCUCUUUGAGCACUUUCACACGCAUAAGACCUCCUAAUAUUUUGCUGACAUCAUACAUAUCACGGAACAGCUGCCAGUGUAUAUAUGGUAAGAGUGCAUGUGACGGGCUUGGUGGUACAACCAAGAGAAUGGCUGAUGAAGCUAUCAGACAAGGCAAUGUCACAAUACAAGAUGCUGCAGACUUUUAAUAUUAUAUACUUGGGCAGUACAGUCAAGUAUGAAGGCAAUUGAGUUCUUGUACGUGUCAAGUGAUGUAACCAAGAAGAAGCGUGAUAAAAUGGCUUUGAUAAAAACAAAGCCAGUAAAAGGAACGUUAAAACUACACGCAGUUGGGAUCAAACUAGAAGACAACAAAACAAAACUGAUGACAAGAGAAAUGUCAUGCCACUGUGCGACAUGUAUAGCUGGAUCAUAUUGUGAUUCAUGGGCUGCUCAAGACAUAAAGUGUGUAACAGCUAUUAAUGAAGAGCGUGCAUAUGCAGUUGACGAGACUCUUGGCGAAACAGAGAAAGAAAUACAGCCUAGUAAUGAUAACGAUUUGCCGGACACUGAAGAUGGGGCUCAUGGUGUUGAAGAGACACUUACAGAGACAGAGAAAAUCAAUGAAGAAAAUAUUAUCUUGAAUGACAUACACAUAGAUGACCUCGUUGCAGCUGUAUAUGAAGGGCAAUGGUACAUAGGAAGGGUUGAAAAAAAGGAUGCCGAAGAAGGAGAUUAUAAACUAAACUUCAUGCAAAGAGCUAAACAGAUGUUUAAAUGGCCUCCGAAAAAAAGAUCGAUUGUGGUUAGAUAGCAAAACCAUUUUGUGCAAAAUCAACUAUUAGAGCCAUCUGGAAAGAGUAUGAGACUUUUCAAAAUCGCACAAGAGGAAUUGGAUACAGUUAACAAGAUGUUUGAAACCAUCUUACAACAGUGAUACAUACGUUACCCAAAAGCAACACAACGUGUAACUGCAUGCAAAUUUCUAAUGCAGAAGAUGGUUAUCUUUGGAUAAAUGACACUUGUGUAUCUGUGUAAGACAAAUGUUCAUUUUAUCGCAAAAUCAAUCUAUGUAGAUAAUGCGUAUCGGUUUUGUCAUUGAUGAUGAUACAUACGUUAUUGAAUUACAGAUACAAACGUGACUGUAAGUUUGAAAGUCGUUUGAUUAUGUUUAGAGGAGUUCGUUAAAAUAUGUGUUAGAUAACAGUUUGUUAUGUGUUAAAAGCCAGUUUUAUUCAAUAUUUGUUUGUUUAGAAAAUCUUAUACGUUUUGCUCCAAUAUCACAUAUGUGCUUGUAAAUUCCUGUUAAAAAUGAUUUUACAAAAUAUUUUAAGCCAUCAAACAUACAAUGACAAGUGAUCAUCUGUUUGUUGACAGUUUUGAAUUUUGAGUGAAAAAAUGAUAGUUUUUAAAGAAAAUACUUGCUACUGGAACGAAGAUGUCAUUUACAGAAUGUUAAUAAAUUUUGAUACA